rnacentral:rRNA from 1 species
AGUGAACGCUGGCGGCGUGCCUAAUACAUGCGAGUCGAACGGAGUGGCGCACGGGUGAGUAAUGUAUAGCUAUACUGCCCCACACCUGUAGACAACAAUUGGAAACGACAGCGAAUACUCUCUAGUGUAGGAUGAGGCUAUAUUGUAUCAGCUAGUUGGGGAGGUAAUGGCUCAUCAAGACUAUGACGCAUAACUGGUCUGAGAGGAUGAUCAGUCACACAGGAACUGAGAGACGGUUCAGACUCCUACGGGAGGAAGCAGUGGGGAAUAUUGCUCAAUGGGGGAAGCCCUGAGGCAGCAACGCCGCGUGGAGGAUGACACUUUUCGGAGCGUAAACUCCUUUUGUUAGGGGAGCGGUACCUAACGAAUAAGAACCGGCUAACACGGUGCCAGCAGCCGCGGUAAUUC